rnacentral:rRNA from 1 species
AUUGAACGCUGGCGGCAUGCCUUACACAUGCAAGUCGAACGGCAGCGGGGGAGAAGCUUGCUUUUCCUGCCGGCGAGUGGCGAACGGGUGAGUAAUACAUCGGAACGUGCCCUGUAGUGGGGGAUAACUAGCCGAAAGAUUAGCUAAUACCGCAUACGACCUGAGGGUGAAAGUGGGGGACCGCAAGGCCUCAUGCUAUAGGAGCGGCCGAUGUCUGAUUAGCUAGUUGGUGGGGUAAAGGCCUACCAAGGCGACGAUCAGUAGCUGGUCUGAGAGGGCGAUCAGCCACACUGGGACUGAGACACGGCCCAGACUCCUACGGGAGGCAGCAGUGGGGAAUUUUGGACAAUGGGCGAAAGCCUGAUCCAGCGAUGCCGCGUGUGUGAAGAAGGCCUUCGGGUUGUAAAGCACUUUUGUCCGGAAAGAAAUGGCUCUGGUUAAUACCUGGGGUCGAUGACGGUACCGGAAGAAUAAGGACCGGCUAACUACGUGCCAGCCGCCGCCGUAA